rnacentral:tRNA from 1 species
AAUAAUAUCCUUCGAUAUCUUUUAUUGUCUUUUGGUGAAUAUAUCGCGAUAGAAGACUGAAAAUCCCCGUGUCGGCAGUUCGAUUCUGUCCCUGGCCACCA